CAGUGAGGUAGAGGUUGCGCCAAUUAAGAGUAAGUUGCAAGAGGCUAGUGGAGCUGUUGACUGCAAGUGAAAGGAUUUGGCGCCGAAGUUUGAAACAGCCACUUUGUUUCACGCUGGGACAGUAUCGAACAGGUACUGGACUGCCGCAGAGUCAAUUUGCGGAGUGCUAUCUGGAGA
rnacentral:ncRNA from 2 species